UGGAACUGGAAGCAUUUCAGAGAAUGCUACCAUGGAGGUCCUGGACUUCAGUCUCUUACCUAGCAGCCUAAAUUUGGCCUCCAGGACAUCUCUCCUUUCCCUAUGUCAUUAGUACCUCCAUGUACCACAGUCACUAGCUCCUACCCAGCACUUCACAUAAGUCUAUCUAGAUGUCUCGAGAGAUCCGCAACCUUCACACCAGGCAGGCAACUCACCAUGCGUUUCUCCCAGUCAUUACAAACCCAGCUAUCUAGGUCUCUAAUGAUCAAAUUGCCCAUUACUAAUGCCUGUCUCUUUCUAACAACUGGAAUUCCAUCCCCCAGAGAGGUAUCCUCAGUGCGAGACGAUACCACAUCAUCAUCUGGAAGGAGGGUCCCAACUAUCAUCAUAAAGAGAAAUAAAACAUAAGAAAAGGGAAACUCCUAACAAACAAUAUGUGUAUUUCUGUUUAAUUUUCAGGCAAAAGAGAUAUAGAAAUUGACAAACGAGAUAUAGAAAUUGAAAAACAAGAUAAAGAAAUAAGUAAGUGUCAUUAUCCUUCCUCUGACAAGAAA